GACGAACGCUGGCGGCGUGCCUAACACAUGCAAGUCGAGCGGGGUUGAAGCGAGGGGUAACUCGGACUUCUACCUAGCGGCGGACGGGUGAGUAACGCGUGGGCAACCUGCCUCAAGGUUUGGGAUAACAGCUCGAAAGGGCUGCUAAUACCGGAUAUGCCUGUGGCCUCGCAUGGGGCUAUGAGCAAAGGGGAAACCCGCCUUGAGAUGGGCCCGCGUCCCAUCAGCUAGUUGGUGAGGUGAAGGCUCACCAAGGCGACGACGGGUAGCCGGCCUGAGAGGGUGACCGGCCACACUGGGACUGAGACACGGCCCAGACUCCUACGGGGGGCAGCAGUGGGGAAUAUUGGACAAUGGACGAAAGUCUGAUCCAGCGACGCCGCGUGGAGGAAGAAGUCCUCGGAGUGUAACUACAUGAAGCUAACGAAUAAAGACGGAAGGGGAACCGUUACCGGGACGGAAGGUAAGUUAAGUUAGGAAAAGACCCGGACCGUAACUAACCGUAGUCCAGCAGCGCCGGAACGUAAGUCUACG
rnacentral:rRNA from 1 species